GACGGAGGAUGCAAGUGUUAUCCGGAAUCACUGGGCGUAAAGCGUCUGUAGGUGGUUCGAAAAGUCCACUGUUAAAAAUUGAGGCUUAACUUCAAAGAUGCCGUGGAAACUUUCAAACUAGAGUAUGGUAGGGGUAGAGGGAAUUUCCAGUGGAGCGGUGAAAUGCGUAGAUAUUGGAAAGACCACCAAUGGCGAAGGCACUCUACUGGGCCAUUACUGACACUGAGAGACGAAAGCUAGGGGAGCGAAUGGG
rnacentral:rRNA from 1 species